UUAACCUAAAUCCAUACCAUAUACUCAUAAUGGGUGGCUUGUUUUUCUAAUUAUAAUUGUUGAGAGCAUUCUUCCACUAUGGAAAUAAUAUGUUGUCUUUUCGAAUAUGCGAAAAUCUAAUUUUUUGAAACCCUUUAGUAUUCCUAAUAAUGGAAUUAUAUAGAACUCUCCAACUAGUUCUAGGUUUUUCUAACCCUUUCAUGAUUUCCGCUACCGUUUUAUUGUUUGUUUAGAACUUUACCUCCAUAAAACAACAAUCGGUCGUUAUUUCCAUGGCUUUCUUUAGAGCCAUAUUUUCACCCAUUAAUGGAUCAUUAUUUCUAUUCAUGCAAAAGAAGCUCGCAACAAGUGUAUCCCUUUGUCAUCUCUAAAAAAUACUCCAAGCUCUCACUUUCAUUUAAUAGCUAGGAUAAAAUCUAUUUUACACUUUGUCCAACCUUUCACCAGAGGGUUGUUCAUAGCCACUUCCGAAGUUUUUGUUUGACCUUGCAUGUUAUUUCUAGUCAUCGAGUGGCUUUGCGUGUCAUCUUUUCACAGAUUUUGAGUGGAUUUAGGGUUGAUUUUGUUCAACGAUUGGAUUUGCAUGUAGAUUUUCUAAGGAAUCUGGAUGGAGCUAGGGUUUUCACUUAAGUUUUCUUUUUUAUCGUCGUUGAUGUGUUGGUGUUACUCCGCUCCUUGUUGCACCUGGACCACAUACUCAUAUCAUGUAUAUUGGGGUGAACCAUUCUAUAGUCUCAGUAUCAGUUCUUCUAUUCUAGAUAAAAUCGUGUACUUUUGUGUUCAGGAAAUUAGAAACGACACCUUGGUUGGCUCUGUCUAUAGCUUAUAUCACAAGUAUAGUUCUAUCUUUAAAGAUUAUGGUAUUUCUAGCAUACCAUAUAUUGUCAAUAAUGUUGAUAACAAUGGUUAUGUUAUAGUUGUCCAGCUUUAAAUUGGUUUUUCUAACCUGGUCUAUGAAAUUUUGAUAGUCAAAAUUGUCAAACUUUAUGUUGAGCUGAGACCCAAACCAUACCUGAGUAGUCAAGGUGCAAUCCUUAGAAUAGUGGUUGAUGGAUUCUAUUUUAGAUUUACAUCUAGGGCAUUAAAUAUUACACAUAAUCCAUCUAUUAGGGAGAUUGUCUCUUAUAUGUAUGAAGUUAUUAAGCAGACUCCAUAUCAAGGUUUUCUAUCUAAGAGUAGUUUGGGUUUUCCAA